ACCUUUAAGUUUAUUCUUGGUAUGAGCUUUUGUGUGCAUGCACACUUCUGCUGUAUCUGAAGAAGUGUGCAUGCACACGAAAGCUCAUACCAAGAACAAACUUAGUUGG